AAGCAUGCAAAGAAUGUCUUUUCUUAUGUUUUCUCAGUUAGUCCAAGUGGCAGCCAGGAGAAGCUGGCCAAGACAGAGCAUCAGAAUCAGGUUUCUUGAGCCAUCAAGACAUUGAUAUCGAAAUCGUAAAUGUAGACAGUUUAAAUAACAGCAUGAAUUUUGACUUAUAUUUUAGACCAAGAGCUGCAAUCCCUGCUUGAUGAGCCUGUGGCUUCUGAGAUGCCCGCUGGAUACAUUGAAGGUCUUCAAGCUGUGGAGAUGAGGAUAAUAAUGAAGCUUUAGAUGAUCCAUAGUGUCAUGUUCCUGACCUUAUUUUCCCUUAUUUUGUAUUUAUUUAGUUGGUCAGGGCGUGAGUUGGGGUGGGGUGUCUGUGUGUUUUCUAUGUUGGGGUUUUUGUGUUCGGCCUGGUAUGAUUCUCAAUCAGAGGCAGCUGUCAAUCGUUGUCCCUGAUUGAGAAUCAUACUUAGGCAGCCGGGGUUUCACGUGUGGUUUGUGGGUGUUUGUUCCUUGUUAGUGUUUUGCCACACGGGACUGUCACGGUAGUUUAAUUUGUUAUUUUGUAUCGCAUAUUUGUUUCCGUGUCUAUUAAAUUACCAUGGAAACUAA